UCCGGUUUGUCACCGGCGGUCUCCUUAGAGUUCCCACCAUUACGUGCUGGCAACUAAGGACAAGGGUUGCGCUCGUUGCGGGACUUAACCCAACAUCUCACGACACGAGCUGACGACAGCCAUGCAGCACCUGUGUCACGGUUCCCGAAGGCACCCCCUGAUCUCUCAAGGGUUCCGUGCAUGUCAAGGCCAGGUAAGGUUCUGCGCGUUGCAUCGAAUUAAACCACAUACUCCACCGCUUGUGCGGGCCCCCGUCAAUUCCUUUGAGUUUCAGUCUUGCGACCGUACUCCCCAGGCGGCGAACUUAACGCGUUAGCUUCGACACUGAGCUCCAAGUUGAGCCCAACGUCCAGUUCGCAUCGUUUACGGCGUGGACUAC
rnacentral:misc_RNA from 1 species